AAAAAGAUAAACCCUAGGUUUCCGUGUCCAACAUUUGACUGUUCGUCUUAUAUAAAUUUUUUUUGUGAUUAUUAUUUUCAUUGUUGUUAGAUGAUAAAAUAUGAUUAAUACUUUAUGCAUGACUUAUCUUUUUAUUUUUUUUAUAUUUUUUAAAUAAGACGAACGGUUAAACGUUAGACACGGAACCCAGG
rfam:Oryza meridionalis cultivar OR44 (W2112) chromosome 6, whole genome shotgun sequence.